AAUCACCUCCACUGCUCCACCUUCCUCCAUCUGUCCCAGCUCCACCCAGUCUCCUCCCAUCAUGCUCCUGUUCCUCUCCUCCAGUGCUGCAGUGGUUUUCCUCCACCUACUGGUUUUACUGGUGAGCUGGUGUUUUCACAGGAGUCAUGAAGGAUCUGGAUUUGACCCACAGCAGUUUGGACCCAGCAGAGGAACCUCUACAUGUGUCCUCUACUCAGCACUGAGGACAGACGUCCAUCAGGGACAGAUCGUCUGC